rnacentral:rRNA from 1 species
GACGUAGGGCGCGAGCGUUGUCCGGAUUUAUUGGGCGUAAAGAGCUCGUAGGCGGCUUGUUACGUCGACUGUGAAAACCCGCGGCUCAACUGCGGGCCUGCAGUCGAUACGGGCAGGCUAGAGUUCGGUAGGGGAGACUGGAAUUCCUGGUGUAGCGGUGAAAUGCGCAUAUAUCAGGAGGAACACCGGUGGCGAAGGCGGGUCUCUGGGCCGAUACUGACGCUGAGGAGCGAAAGCGUGGGGAGCGAACAGG